rnacentral:tRNA from 1 species
GCCAGGGUGGCAUAGUGAUUUGAGUGCCGGACUAUGACUCUGGAGACCAGGGUUCGAAUUCUGGCUCAGCCA